rnacentral:rRNA from 1 species
UACGGGGGGGGCAAGCGUUGUUCGGAAUUACUGGGCGUAAAGGGCUCGUAGGUGGCCAACUAAGUCAGACGUGAAAUCCCUCAGCUUAACUGGGGAACUGCGUCUGAUACUGGAUGGCUUGGAUUCGGGAGAGGGAUGCAGAAUUCCAGGUGUAGCGGUGAAAUGCGUAGAUAUCUGGAGGAAUACCGGUGGCGAAGGCGGCAUCCUGGACCGACAUUGACGCUGAUGAGCGAAAGCUAGGGGAGCAAACGGG